GACGAACGCUUGCGGCGUGCUUAACACAUGCAAGUCGAACGGAAAGGCCCUGCUUUUGUGGGGUGCUCGAGUGGCGAACGGGUGAGUAACACGUGAGUAACCUGCCCUUGACUUUGGGAUAACUUCAGGAAACUGGGGCUAAUACCGGAUAGGAGCUCCUGCUGCAUGGUGGGGGUUGGAAAGUUUCGGCGGUUGGGGAUGGACUCGCGGCUUAUCAGCUUGUUGGUGGGGUAGUGGCUUACCAAGGCUUUGACGGGUAGCCGGCCUGAGAGGGUGACCGGCCACAUUGGGACUGAGAUACGGCCCAGACUCCUACGGGAGGCAGCAGUGGGGAAUAUUGCACAAUGGGCGGAAGCCUGAUGCAGCAACGCCGCGUGCGGGAUGACGGCCUUCGGGUUGUAAACCGCUUUCGCCUGUGACGAAGCGUGAGUGACGGUAAUGGGUAAAGAAGCACCGGCUAACUACGUGCCAGCAGCCGCGGUGAUACGUAGGGUGCGAGCGUUGUCCGGAUUUAUUGGGCGUAAAGGGCUCGUAGGUGGUUGAUCGCGUCGGAAGUGUAAUCUUGGGGCUUAACCCUGAGCGUGCUUUCGAUACGGGUUGACUUGAGGAAGGUAGGGGAGAAUGGAAUUCCUGGUGGAGCGGUGGAAUGCGCAGAUAUCAGGAGGAACACCAGUGGCGAAGGCGGUUCUCUGGGCCUUUCCUGACGCUGAGGAGCGAAAGCGUGGGGAGCGAACAGGCUUAGAUACCCUGGUAGUCCACGCUGUAAACGGUGGGUACUAGGUGUGGGGUCCAUUCCACGGGUUCCGUGCCGUAGCUAACGCUUUAAGUACCCCGCCUGGGGAGUACGGCCGCAAGGCUAAAACUCAAAGGAAUUGACGGGGCCCCGCACAAGCGGCGGAACAUGCGGAUUAAUUCGAUGCAACGCGUAGAACCUUACCUGGGUUUGACAUGGAUCGGGAGUGCUCAGAGAUGGGUGUGCCUCUUUUGGGGUCGGUUCACAGGUGGUGCAUGCCUGUCGUCAGCUCGUGUCGUGAGAUGUUGGGUUAAGUCCCGCAACGAGCGCAACCCUUGUUCACUGUUGCCAGCACGUUAUGGUGGGGACUCAGUGGAGACCGCCGGGGUCAACUCGGAGGAAGGUGGGGAUGACGUCAAGUCCUCAUGCCCCUUAUGUCCAGGGCUUCACGCAUGCUACAAUGGCUGGUACAGAGAGUGGCGAGCCUGUGAGGGUGAGCGAAUCUCGGAAAGCCGGUCUCAGUUCGGAUUGGGGUCUGCAACCCGACCUCAUGAAGUCGGAGUCGCUAGUAAUCGCAGAUCAGCAACGCUGCGGUGAAUACGUUCCCGGG
rnacentral:rRNA from 1 species